GGGAAAGUCGGUUUCAUAUUCUGAGGCUGCCUCAUCCACCAUUGGUUCAUCAUGGUCCUCCUCCAUUGCCUCAUUCUCUUCAUCAUCAUCAUCGCCCUCAUUGUCCUCCUGAUCCGACCAAUUAGCUUCGACUUUACACCGGUCACACUCGCAGGUGAAUCCAUAGUCCUCGAGCAAUCUUUUCUGCCGGCUGGAAUAAUUCUCAUUAACAGGGAAAUAGCUCAAGCAGAUCUCUCUUCCUUGAGGGACAUCAUGAAUCAUCCGGAUAAUCACGUCAGUAUUGCGAUCGGGAGCAUUGUCGACGUAAUCAAAUCUGCAAGCAUUUGGAAGGCAGUCAUGGUUGAAGAGGGAGGCCUUCGGGUAUAUGCCAUAGGCUCGGACUGAUCUCUGCCCACAGUUUUCUUUAUUGAAAUCCACAGGUUCCAUUAUGCCGAAAGCAUUGAGCUUGUCCUUGGCAAGUAGUGCCGAGGUAAGUUCCAAGGAGAAGAGGAAUCCCUCAAUCGAAGGAGGAGGGCAGAGAGACGAGAUGACGGAAUGUAAAAAUUGAGCGGCUACGGCAUCUUUAUCCUCUCCAUGGCCUUGAAGAGAUGAUAAAAUUUGGAAGUUGGAAGGCGAGACAAGUGCAAGGUUGUAGGCGGCGAUGAGGAAACGGGCUUGGAUUUGGCGCUCCAUAGGCUGAUGCAGAAAAAGGGAUGGGCAAUCCCGCAGGCGACUUA
rnacentral:misc_RNA from 1 species